rnacentral:lncRNA from 10 species
CACUAGUUUAAACAAGAUCUGGUUGUUUAAAAGAGUGUGGCACUUCCCCACUCUUCUCUCUCUUUCUCUUUCUUUCUUUUUUUCUUUCUCUCUUUCUUUCUUUCUCUCUUUCUUCUUUCACUCUCUCUCUCUCCCUCCUUCCUCCUCCCUCCCUCUCUCCUUCCCUGCCUCUCUCCCCCCCCGUCUCGUCUCAUCUCUUCUCUCUCUCUCUCUUUCUUUCUUCCUCUCUCUCUCUCUUCCUUCCUUCCUCUUCCUUUUGUUUUGUUUCUUUCCUUUCCUUUUUUGCUUCUUUCCUUCUUUCUUUCUUCCCUCCUUCCCUCUCUUCCUUUCCUUUCCUUUCUCUCUUUCUUCUUUUUGUUUCUCUUGCCAUGUGACAUGCCUGGUUUCACUUUACCUUCCACCAUUUUUGUAAGCUUCCUAAGGGCCUGACCAGAAGCAGAUGCUGGCACCAUACUUCCUAUACAGCCUGCAGAACAGUGAUCCAAUUAAACCUCUUUUCCUUAUACAUUACCCAGCCUCAGGUACAUCUUUAUAGCGGUGCUAUAAAGGUGCUAUAAAAAUGCAAGAAUGAAAGAACACAGAAAAUUGGUACCAAAAGUAGAUUGUUGAUGUAAGGAUAAUGCAAAUGUGAAAGCAGCUUUGGAACUGGGUAAAAAGUACAGGUUUGAAGAGCUUAGAGGGCUCAGAAGAAGACAGACAGAUGAGGGAAAGUUUGGAGCUUCCUGGGGACUGGUCAGCUGGUUGUGACCAAGAUGCUGAUAGAGAUACGGACAGUGAAGUCCAGGCUGCUGAGGUCUCAGAUGGAAUGAGAUAGUUAUUGGGAACUGGAGCAAAGUUCACCCUUGUGAUGCCUUAGUAAAAAGCUUGGCUGAAUUCUUUUCAUGCCCUAGAGAUCUGUGGAAGUUUGAAAUUUAAUUACUGCACCAUUGGGUUUAGGACUUGUGUGGGGCCUGUUCUUUUGGUUGUUUUCUCCCUUUUGGAAUGGUAAUGUUUACCCAAGGCCUGUACCACCAUUGCAUCUUAGGUGUAAAUAACUUGUUUAGAUUCUACAGGCUCAUAGGUGACAGGAGGUUAGUCUCAGAUGAGACUUAGGAUGUUAAACUUGAUGCUGGAACGACUUAGAACUUUGGGGGAUUAUUGAGAAGGGAUUAUUGCAUUUUGCAAUGUGAGAAAGGCAUGAGAUUUGGUGGGCCAGGGGUGGAAUUAUAUACUUUUAAUAUUUGUCCCAUCCAAAUCUUAUGUUGAAAUGUAGCUGCCAGUGUUGAGGUGGGCCUAGUGGGAGGUGUUUGGGUCAUGGGGCCACGUGGAUCCUUCGUGAAUAAAUUGGUGCUGCCCUCAUGACAAUGAGUUGUUGCUCCCAGUUCAUGUGAGACUGGUUGUUUAAAAGAGUGUGGCACUUUCCACCUCUCUCUCUCCUACUCUCACCAUGUGACAUGCCUGCUCCUCAUUCACAUUCCACCAUAAUUGUAAGCUUCUUGAGUCCCUCACCAGCAGCAGAUACUGGCACCAGAUUUCCUGUAGAGCCUGCAUAACCAUGAGCCAAUUAAACCUCUUUUCUUUAUGGAUUACCCAAGCUCAGGUUCUACCCUGGAGAGUGUUCCAUAUGCACUUGAGAUUAUUAUGUAUUCUGCUGUGUUGGAUGGACUGUUCUAUAGUUGUCUAUUAAGUCUAGUUGUUUUGUAAUGUAAUUUAAGUCGUUUAUAUCUAUGUUUAUUUACCAUUUCUAUAUGUUUUUAUGUAGUUACUAUAUUUGAUGUUUUUGUUUUCUUUAUUCAGAGUCACAUCUUUAGUAUGAUUUUCUAUCUGAGAAGUGUUCUUUAUUAUUUUCUAUAGUGUGUGUCUGCAGGUCAUGAAUAGUGCAAGUAUAUUUAUGGUUAAAACCAUUUUAUUUUGCCUUCCCUUCUGAAAGAUAUUUUCACUGAGUAAAGAAUUCAGAAUUGACAGUUUUUUUUAAUUUAAAGAACAUGUUUUACUGAUACAUUAUAAUUGUAUAUGUUUAUGGGGUAUACGUGCUAUUUUGAUGCAUGAAUACAGUAUGUAAGGAUCGAAUUAGUGUUUAGGAUAUCCAUCACCUUGAGCAUUUGUCAUUUCUAUAUGUUGGGAAUAUUUCAAAUCUUCUAUGUAUUUUGAAAUGUACAAUAAAUUAUGUUAACUAUGUUCACUCUGCUGUGUGAUAUACAACAAUAGACCUUAUUGCUUUUAUGUAACCGUAUGUUUGUGCCCAUUGACCAACUACCCCUCAUCCCCACAACCCCUAACCCUUCCCAGCCUCUCUGGUAACUAUUAAUCUACACUAUACCUCCAUGAGAUCAGCUUUUUUUAGCUCCCACAUGAGAGAGAACAUGUGACAUUUGUUUUUCUGUGCUUGGCUAAUUUCACUUAACAUAAUGACCUCCAGUUCCAUCAUGUUGCUGCAGAGGAUAAGAUUUCAUUCUUUUGUUUAUGACUGGAAAGUAUUUCAUCGUGUAUGCAUGCCACAUUUUCCUUAUGCAUUCAUCUGUUGAUGAAAACAGGUUGAUUCUAUAGCUUUGCUAUUAUGAAUAGUGCUGCAGUAAACGUGGGAGUGCAGGAAUUCCUUAGAUAUACUGACGUUUUUUCCUGUGAUUAAAUACCCAGUAGUGGGAUUAUUGCAUUGUAUGAUGAUAGUCUAUUUUUAGUGUUUCUGAAACACUAUCAUGUUUUUCAUAAUGGCCGUAUUAAUUUAAAAUUUACCUUCUCACCAACAGUAUAUAACAGUGUAUAAGAGUUCCUUUACACUGCGUUCUUGCCAGAAUGUGUUAUGUUUUGUCUUUUUGAUAUUAGUCACUCUAGCUGGGGUGAGAUGAUGUCUCACUGUGAUUUUGAUUCGCAUUGCCCUGAUGAUUAGUGAUGUUGAGCAUUUUAAAAAAUACAC